rnacentral:lncRNA from 1 species
UCCCCUGUAAAUUAAGAAAGUAUCACCAGUCCAGUAGUCAGUAAUUUUAUUUUGACAUGAAUUUUUAUUGAUAUGGUAAAAUUAUAGAUUAACAGCUGUUUUGCCAAACUUUGCAUUGUUCAAAGUACUAAGGAUUCUCUACCAUGGAGCACAAGAUAACUUAUAAGCAGUAUUUGGCAAAACCUUUGUAAUUUGUGUCCUAAAUGCCCUUCAACUUCCUCC